GAUUGACAGAUUGAGGAGCUCUUUCCUUGAUUCGGUGGGUGGUGGUGCAUGGCCGUUCUUAGUUGGUGGAGCGAUUUGUCUGGUUAAAUUCCGAUAACGCACGAGACUCUGGCGUAUUAAAUAGUGCGCGGAUCAGCCCAGUCCGCUGUACUUCUUAGAGGGACAAGCGGCAUAUAGCCGCACGAAAUUGAGCAAUAACAGGUCUGGGAUGCCCUUAGAUGUCCGGGGCCGCACGCGCGCUACACUGAAGGAAUCAACGUGCCUCGUGUUCCUGGGCCGAAAGGUCCGGGUAACCCGUUGAAACUCCUUCGUGAUUGGGAUCGGGACUUGUAAUUAUUUCCCGUGAACGAGGAAUUCCCAGUAAGUGCGGGUCAUCAGCUCGCGUUGAUUACGUCCCUGCCCUUUGUACACACCGCCCGUCGCUACUACGGAUUGUAUGUUCUCAUGAACAGUUUGGACCGUGCGCUCCGACCUUCGGGCUGGCUGCGUCUCGGAAAGACCGUGUAAGUGG
rnacentral:rRNA from 1 species